rnacentral:rRNA from 1 species
AACGAACGCUGGCGGCGCGUCUUAAGCAUGCAAGUCGAACGGCAAGAGCGGGGCUUUCUUCUCUCCUCGAGUGGCGGACUGGUGAGGAACACGUGGGUAACCUACCCUUAAGAUGGGGAUAGCUGCUAGAAAUAGCAGGUAAUACCGAAUACACUCGCCAUAUCCCUAGAGGUGUUGAGGAAAGGUCGCUACGGCUUGGCUUGAGGGUGAGCUUGCGUCCCAUUAGCUAGUUGGUGGGGUAAAGGCCCACCAAGGCGACGAUGGGUAUCCGGCCUGAGAGGGUGAACGGACACAUUGGGACUGAGAUACGGCCCAAACUCCUACGGGAGGCAGCAGCUAAGAAUAUUCCGCAAUGGACGGAAGUCUGACGGAGCGACGCCGCGUGGAUGAAGAAGGCUGAAAAGUUGUAAAAUCCUUUUGUUGAUGAAGAAUAAGGGUGAGAGGGAAUGCUCAUCUGAUGACGGUAAUCGACGAAUAAGCCCCGGCUAAUUACGUG